rnacentral:rRNA from 1 species
UACCAGCACCCCGAGUGGUCGGGACGUUUAUUGGGCCUAAAGCAUCCGUAGCCGGUUCUACAAGUCUUCCGUUAAAUCCACCUGCUUAACAGAUGGGCUGCGGAAGAUACUAUAGAGCUAGGAGGCGGGAGAGGCAAGCGGUACUCGAUGGGUAGGGGUAAAAUCCGUUGAUCCAUUGAAGACCACCAGUGGCGAAGGCGGCUUGCCAGAACGCGCUCGACGGUGAGGGAUGAAAGCUGGGGGACGCAACCGG